CCCCUGAAAGAGUGGAAGAUAUUGGGUAUACAGCACCAAGGUGAUAGAAUCAGGAGCCUAAUAGCUAGAGAGAACCUUAAAGAUUACCUAGUCCAACCCACUCAUGUUACAUUUGGAAAAAGCAAGGUCCAAAGCACAGACAUGAAUUAUCCAAGGUUACACAGAACCAAGUCUAGAAUCCAACUCUUUUGGUCUUCCACUCCAGGCUUCUUUCUGCUACACUACAGCAGGUGUGUCUAUAUGCAUCUACCUCCAUAUGUGCAGAUAUAAGACAGAAUAUGCAUGUAUAUGCCCAUUUACAUAUAUAAUAUCAUAGGUACCUGGAAAAAUUCCCUACUGCUAUCAUCCCUCUCUUAAAUAAGAGUAAAACUAAUCUCAAGGAAAAAAGUCAGUAAUAGAAACUUAACUUGGGUGAUACACUUUUCUAGUCGUGCUGCUUACCAGUUGGAUGGCAUUGGGCAUAUUACCUUUCUGAGCCUCAGCUUUCAAACUGGAAUAAAAAUCCACCCAAAUAGAACUAUAGUGUAGAUUAAAUGAGAGGGUGAUCAUGAAAACAUAUUCUGCAAAAGGUGAGAGUUAUGUUGUAUAAACGUAAGUUGAUGUUGACCUGAAGGGGCGAUGAUAGCUAAGGAGAAAAUAACAUUUUAAAAAAAAAUUUAAAAUACAAUGUAUUCUUCUAAUUUACUUACUUAAUAGAUUAACACUUCACUGAACCCCAAACCAUCGGGCCUAGUCUGCAACAUCCCUCCGAGGGCCUGUGCAGCCCUUGCUGGCACAACUUAAGAGACUGGCACUUACCACAUCCAAAGCCAGCCACUCCUCUUUCGGACAACUGCAACAAGGCACGAAGCUUUUCCUCAUACAGAGUCAAAAUGCCACUCAGUCAUUUCUAAACACUCGUCCUCAUUUUACCCAGUGGAGCCAUUUUGUGUUAAAAAUCAGAUGUGAAGGUGAAACCAUCAGUCACUCUACUGAGCCUCAAGUGAAGUGACCAAUCUGACAGGCCAGAUGGUUUCCGACCUUCACGAGGACUUCCUGCACAUACCUUGCUCUCACAGUGUAGCCUCCACGAGGGCAGUGUUUCUCAAGCAGGGGGCAAUUUUGCCCCUGGGGAUAUGCACAGGACAGCCCCCCCCAACCAAGAAUUAUCUGCUCCCCAUGUCCACAGUGCUGAGGUUGAAAACCCUGUGCUAGUUGGAGGAACCCCCUCUGUCCAAAAGUCCACAAGACUUUAAAGUGCCCUCUGUCCUUCCCUUGAAAUGCAGUAACAGUCCUUCCCUCAUCAAACUCAUUGGCCAGAGCCAAAUCAGUCCCAACCAAGGGGAACAAGGAAAGGAGGAGACAGGCUGUAUUUACUGAAAGCCGCAGAGGAUGCUUGGUUCAUCAUAUGCAAAAUGGGAGUAAUUGUACUUUACAAUGCUGCUAUGGAAUCAAGUGAGACAACAGAUGACAAUGACUGAUAAACAGAUUUUUUUUUGUGAGGAGGCACAGGAGGUUCUUGACUUUUAUACUUAAAGAGCUCACAGUCUAGAAAGACAUGAAAUUAAUGAACAACUUCUUCAGAGAACAGGAAGCCAAAAGGAGCAGGGGAAUAAUAACUCAAGGCCAACACUUCUUUCUUUGGGGGAAAACACUGCUUUCUUUCCUACCAAAGUGGGAAAUAAUUUUGUGAUCCAGGCAAGUAAAUCAGCCACAAGCAAAGAGCAAAUCAGUUUAAUGUGCAUGAUUCUUGCCCAGACAAGAUUUAAUCUAUUUGCUUUUUGUACCGACACCACAUAUAAUGUAUCAGAGGCAGACACACUGCUUGUGUUCCCUUUAAAACCCAGAGAGGCCUUGCCUGACAGCCUGGUGGAGUGGGAAGUACAUUGGAAUUGGAUUUAGAUUCCAGUAAACCUAAGCUCUAGUCUUAGCUUUGCCACUUACAAGCAGUAAAAACUUGUACACACUUAUUGACUUUUCUUAGUCUUUCUUCAUCUGUAAAAUCAAUUUUUUAAUAAAAAUUUCUACCUCAUACAACUGUUAUAAGGAUUCAAUGAAAUUACAAAUGGUAAAGUUGUAAAGUAUUUUACUUCUUAUAUAUUAUUACAUGGGGUUCUGCGGACCCUUGUUUUCUAAAGCUUCAGAGAAAAUUUGGUAAAGGCGAGUCCAAUUUUUUUCUUCCAGUUUUAUUGAGAUAUAAU